rnacentral:lncRNA from 1 species
UGCACCUCAUAAUCCCAAAAGACAUCUCAUAUCAUGAGGAUUUAAGAAAUGCAUAGAAAUAAUGGAAGGAAUUAAGAGUACAAUGUGAAAUGGACUCUCCAUUUUCAUCGCCCAAAAACAAGGGAUGUCCCACAUUUAUUUUGGCAUGGAGUUCCUUCUCAAAGAAGGACUCCGCCUUCUCUUCCAUGUCCCACAUCCCAAGGCUCUAUCUAAUGGCACACAAAAUAAUGGGACGUG